UAGAAAAUGGUGUAAUGGAAGCACGAAGAGUUUUGAUCUCUUUAGGUUGGGUUCAAAUCCCUUUUUUCUAA
rnacentral:tRNA from 1 species